rnacentral:ncRNA from 2 species
AUAACCGAAUAGGGGUGCCCGAAUUAAAACGGGCUGAGAUCACACCCUUGGAACCUGAUGCGGAUCAUACCGACGAAGGGAAUUCUUCCAGGCAUUCU